CCUGCCCCUUGUAAAGCUGAAGCCAAAGCAAAGGCUUUAAAGGCCAAGGCGGCAGCGUUGAAAGGCGUCCACAGCCACACAAAAAAAGAACCUCACAACAGCCACACACACAAAACAAACUAUAAAAAAAAUAGAUCCGCACAACAGCCACACACACACAAAAAAAGAUCCACACAACAGCCCCCCCAAAAAAAGAUCCGCGCGUCACCCGCCUUCUGGCAGCCCAAGACACUGCGACUCCGGAGGCAGCCCAAAUAUCCUCGGAAGAGCGCCCCCAGGAGAAACGAGCUUGACCACUAUGCGAUCAUCAAUUUUCCACCGACCACUGAGUCUGCCAUGAAGAAGACAGAAGACAACACACUUGUCUUCACUGUGGAUGUUAAAGCCAACAAGCACCAGCUCAAACAGGCUGUGAAGAACUCUGUGAGGUGGUUGUGGCCCAGGUCAAUACCCUGAUUGGGCCUGAUGGAGAGAAGAAGGCACAUGUUCCACUGGCUCCUGAUCAGGAUGCUUUGGGUGUGGCCAACAAAAUGGAGAUCAU
rnacentral:lncRNA from 1 species